rnacentral:rRNA from 1 species
CCUACGGGGGGCAGCAGUGGGGAAUAUUGGACAAUGGGCGAAAGCCUGAUCCAGCCAUGCCGCGUGUGUGAAGAAGGCCUUCGGGUUGUAAAGCACUUUCAGUGGGGAAGAAAGCCUUGGGGCUAAUACCCUCGAGGAAGGACAUCACCCACAGAAGAAGCACCGGCUAACUCCGUGCCAGCAGCCGCGGUAAUACGGAGGGUGCGAGCGUUAAUCGGAAUUACUGGGCGUAAAGCGCGCGUAGGCGGUCUGAUAAGCCGGUUGUGAAAGCCCCGGGCUCAACCUGGGAACGGCAUCCGGAACUGUCAGGCUAGAGUGCAGGAGAGGAAGGUAGAAUUCCCGGUGUAGCAGUGAAAUGCGUAGAGAUCGGGAGGAAUACCAGUGGCGAAGGCGGCCUUCUGGACUGACACUGACGCUGAGGUGCGAAAGCGUGGGUAGCGAACAGGAUUAGAUACCCCGGUAGUC